GGCUGCGGUUAGCAGGUUACUCUGAUAUAGUAAAUUGUGGAUAAUAUCUCGGUA
rnacentral:tRNA from 1 species